rnacentral:rRNA from 1 species
ACAGAGGGUGCGAGCGUUAAUCGGAAUUACUGGGCGUAAAGCGUGCGUAGACGGUUAUGUAAGUCGGAUGUGAAAGCCCCGGGCUUAACCUGGGAAUUGCAUUCGAGACUGCAUAGCUAGGAUGCGGAAGAGGGAAGUGGAAUUUCCGGUGUAGCGGUGAAAUGCGUAGAUAUCGGAAGGAACACCAGUGGCGAAAGCGACUUCCUGGUCCAGCAUCGACGUUCAGGCACGAAAGCGUGGGGAGCAAACAGGA